rnacentral:snoRNA from 1 species
CACUUCUCAAUGAGCUCCUUCCUGCCAACAAAUCCGUGGCAGCCUAUGGAUUCGCACGAGAAGGACAUUAGAGUUCAGUACUGGCCCACUCACAACCUGGUUACAUCAGUUGUGAUUAGCCACUUACUGUUCCACAAGU